GCUUAACACAUGCAAGUCGAACGGAGAUUAUUAAUGAAGCUUGCGAUUUAAUAAUCUAGUGGCGGACGGGUGAGUAACGCGUGGGCAACCUACCCAUAAGAGGGGGGAUAACAGUUGGAAACGACUGCUAAUACCGCAUAAGCUAUUAAGGUCGCAUGACCUUAAUAGUAAAGGUGGCGAAAGCUAUCACUUAUGGAUGGGCCCGCGUCUGAUUAGCUAGUUGGUGGGGUAGCGGCCUACCAAGGCAACGAUCAGUAGCCGGCCUGAGAGGGUGGACGGCCACACUGGGACUGAGACACGGCCCAGACUCCUACGGGAGGCAGCAGUGGGGAAUAUUGCGCAAUGGGGGAAACCCUGACGCAGCGACGCCGCGUGAAGCGAAGAAGGCCUUAGGGUCGUAAAGCUCUGUUGUAAGGGACGAAUGUUUAUCUGGCGAACAGUCAGAUAAAGUGACGGUACCUUACCAGCAAGCCCCGGCUAACUACGUGCCAGCCGCAGC
rnacentral:rRNA from 1 species